rnacentral:rRNA from 1 species
GUGAGGAAUAUUGCGCAAUGGGGGCAACCCUGACGCAGCAACGCCGCGUGAGUGAGGAAGGUCUUCGGAUCGUAAAGCUCUGUCGGGUGGGCAGAAGUGUAUAUAAGUUAAUAGCUUGUGUACUUGACGGUACCGUCAAAGGAAGCACCGGCUAACUCCGUGCCAGCAGCCGCGGUAAUACGGGGGGUGCAAGCGUUGUUCGGAAUCAUGGGGCGUAAUGAGCGUGUAGGCGGCUAGGCAAGUCAGAUGUGAAAUCCCUGGGCUUAACCCAGGAAGUGCAUUUGAAACUGCUUAGCUUGAGUAAGGAAGAGGGAAGUGGAAUUCCUGGUGUAGAGGUGAAAUUCGUAGAUAUCAGGAGGAACACCGGUGGCGAAGGCGACUUCCUGGUCCUAUACUGACGCUGAGGCGCGAGAGCGUGGGGAGCAAACAGGAUUAGAAACCCUUGUAGUCC